CACCCAUCCCCCUUCGACGUGCCACCUGCGGCCCCACCCCACCACCGUCCUCCGCAUCGUCCGUCAUGGGCCCCAUGCCAAUUCCACCUUGCUGCCAUGGCUGUCUAGAGGAGGCAAGAUCGGCUGGGGGAGAGGCAUGGAGGAGGCGGGACUACCAGAGAGAGAGGCGAGGGUGUGGAGAAGGUCGGACAUGAAGAAGACCGGCUUCACAUCGCUGCUAUUGUAUCGUGGCCAAAGCAGAAGA
rnacentral:lncRNA from 1 species